UGCUGUGAUGAUCUUUUGAAUA
rnacentral:snRNA from 1 species